rnacentral:misc_RNA from 1 species
UACGGAGGGGGCUAGCGUUGUUCGGAAUUACUGGGCGUAAAGCGCACGUAGGCGGCUUGCCAAGUCAGGCGUGAAAGCCCCGAGCUCAACUCGGGAAUUGCGCUUGAUACUGGUUGGCUAGAGUCCGGGAGAGGGUAGUGGAAUUCCCAGUGUAGAGGUGAAAUUCGUAGAUAUUGGGAAGAACACCAGUGGCGAAGGCGGCUACCUGGACCGGAACUGACGCUGAGGUGCGAAAGCGUGGGGAGCAAACAGG